rnacentral:rRNA from 1 species
CGAUGCCUACGGGGCGCAGCAGUGAGGAAUAUUGGUCAAUGGGCGGAAGCCUGAACCAGCCAAGUCGCGUGAGGGAAUAAGGCCCUACGGGUCGUAAACCUCUUUUGCCGGGGAGCAAGGGCCGGGACGCGUCCCGGCCCGGAGAGUACCCGGAGAAAAAGCAUCGGCUAACUCCGUGCCAGCAGCCGCGGUAAUACGGAGGAUGCGAGCGUUAUCCGGAUUUAUUGGGUUUAAAGGGGGCGUAGGCGGGCUUUUAAGU